GACGUAGGGCGCGAGCGUUGUCCGGAAUUAUUGGGCGUAAAGAGCUCGUAGGCGGCUUGUCGCGUCGGCUGUGAAAACCUGGGGCUCAACCCCGGGCCCUGCAGCCGAUACGGGCAAGCUAGAAUUCGGUAGGGGAGAAUGGAAUUCCUGGUGUAGCGGUGAAAUGCGCAGAUAUCAGGAAGAACACCCGUGGCGAAGGCGGUUCUCUGGGACGGUACUGACGCUGAGACGCGAAAGCGUGGGAGCGAACAGG
rnacentral:rRNA from 1 species